AGGGCGGCUACGCGCCGCUCUAGUGCCGCAGGGAAGCUGUUAAGCCUGCCGCUUGGGGAGUACGGCCGCAAGGCUGAAACUUAAAGGAAUUGGCGGGGGAGCACCACAAGGGGUGAAGCUUGCGGUUUAAUUGGAGUCAACGCCGGAAAUCUUACCGGGGGCGACAGCAGGAUGAAAGCCAGAUUAAAGGUCUUGCCAGACGAGCUGAGAGGAGGUGCAUGGCCGUCGCCAGUUCGUGCCGUGAGGUGUCCUGUUAAGUCAGGCAACGAUCGAGACCCGUAUCCCCCGUUGCUACCAGCCUUGAGCUGGGCACACUGGGAACACCGCCGUCGAUAAGACGGAGGAAGGAGCGGGCCACGGCAGGUCAGUAUGCCCCGAAUCUCCCGGGCCACACGCGAGCUGCAAUGGCAGGUACAAUGGGUUCCGACCUCGAAAGGGGAAGGCAAUCUCGAAAGCCUGCCGUAGUUGGGAUCGAGGGUUGAAACCCACCCUCGUGAACAUGGAAUGCCUAGUAAUCGCGCGUCACUAUCGCGCGGUGAAUACGUCCCUGCUCCUUGCACACACCGCCCGUCGUUCCAUCCGAGCGACUUCUGGGUGAGGCGUGGUCUUUGUUGGCUGCGUCGAAUCUGAGUUUCGUAAGGGGGCAAAAGUCGUAACAAGGUGGCCGUAGGGGAACCUGCGGCCG
rnacentral:rRNA from 1 species